GCUGGGUGUGGUGGCACGCGCCUGUAAUCCCAGCUACUCGGGAGGCUGAGGCAGGAGAAUUGCUUGAACCCAGGAGGUGGAGGUUGCAGUGAGCUAAGAUCACGCCACUGCACUCCAUCCUGGGCAACAAAGCGAGACUCUGUCUCAA
rnacentral:SRP_RNA from 1 species